rnacentral:lncRNA from 1 species
AAAAUAACUUAUUUAAUUUUCAAAAACUCUAUUAAAAAAACUAAACAAUAAUAAAAAUAAACACUUACAAUUGUUAAAUAAGUCAUACCAAACAGUAUAAGUUUUUUUUUUAAAUUUUUGCUGAUUUUUAUACAGUGUCUUGCAUUCCAAUUUCAUUUGGUAGAAAUUAAUUAACUUGUAAACGCACCAUUAAUUAGCUUGUCAAGGUUUGUAUUAGAUAGAAAUUGGAUGAAAAAAAAUUGAUAGUUAUGCAGAACAAUUGAUUGAAAAAACUCACCUCCCAGGACGUAGUCGGGUUGGUUGCAAUGUAGUUGUAAUCUCUACUAAAACCUAGGUUCGAUUCUUGGGAAUGAUAAAGGGUUAAAAAAAUUAUAUUUGAGCUUACUCACCCCCUACCUUUAAAAAAAUUAAAAAUUAACAAUUGGCUGAAAAAACUCAAGAAAGAAAGGUCCGUGGAGCAUCAAAAAGUGUAAGAAAUUUCCCCAUUUUACCGGAGGGAAUGUAUCAAUUGUUUAAUUAGCUAGGAUCCUAUAUUCAAAAUAAAAUAAAAUAAAAUAAAAUAGAGAUGCUGUACAGAAUAUUCUUAUCUAUUGGCAAGAUUGCGGUUUAAUAAAGUUGGGGGCAAUCAUGUCAAUUCGUGUAGAUAUAUUUAUUUCGAUUUUGGAACAUCCAGAGGCAUGGGUCACGAGUUAAAAGCAAAAAAAAAAGGGGGUUCUAAAAUAAAAAAAGAAAUGAAAACUUGUAACAGUUAAAAUCACACGUGUGAUGAUGGCAUGGCACGGUAGGUAAUGUAACGAUGAUCAGUUACGUGUGACGUGCGUUGAUGUGUCCCACUUUCGGCUGACGCAUCUAUUUACUGACAAACCGACGGAUCGUCUGCUUGGAGUUGUAAAGGAAGGUGCCGUGCCAUUCCUUACUCGCAAGCAGCAGUUGGAAUCCUAUGAAUUUUGGGUUCCUAAAGUUGGUAACCCGAUAUUUAUAUUAUAUACUUUUUUUCUUUCAAUCUAUUGUUGAAAAUCAAAUCUUACUUUAGAUAUUAGAUUGAAUUUUUUUUUCUCUUUUACCAACAAAAGAAUAUGAUAUAUAAUAUUAUUUGAAAGCUCCUACUUGAUGCUAAAUCCGCAUCUUAAUGAAGAUAGUUUCUAAUAAGUGGAUCCAAAGUGAUAUAAAAUCAUGAGUUUUCAUUUUCUUGAAAAAACAACCACAAUAUUAAUUUUUUUAUUUUUUAUCAUUUUAUAAUUAAUUACCAAUAACUAACUCCGUCUAUAUUUUAAAUAAAAAAGGACACUUACACAUUUAAGAUUUGGAGAAAUAGUCAUAUAAAUCCCUAAGUUUUCAGUAAUGGAUAUCAGGAUAUCUUUUUCACUAUAA